rnacentral:rRNA from 1 species
UACGUAGGGUGCGAGCGUUAAUCGGAAUUACUGGGCGUAAAGCGUGCGUAGACGGUAGCGUAAGUCGGGUGUGAAAGCCCCGGGCUCAACCUGGGAAUUGCAUUCGAGACUGCUCUGCUAGGGUGCGGAAGAGGGGAGCGGAAUUUCCGGUGUAGCGGUGAAAUGCGUAGAUAUCGGAAGGAACAUCAGUGGCGAAAGCGGCUUCCUGGUCCAGCACCGACGUUCAGGCACGAAAGCGUGGGGAGCAAACAGG